rnacentral:lncRNA from 1 species
UAACCAUUUCAGAUUAUAAAAUAUUAUUAGUGUUCUUACAAAUAUUAAACUACCGUUUGGUUCGGGGUUAAGAAAAAACGAGUUAUUUCAGGGAUAGGGUUAAGAUGAGGUUAGAGUAUUUUUGUGUUUGGUUGGGGGUUUGAGUUAGUUCAGGAUAGUGAAAAAUAAUGUUUGGUUGGAGUAGAUGGGAUAAAAAGAAUAGUAGGUUAUUAUGAAUAGAAAAUAGUGUUUGUUUGGGGUUUGGUGGGGUUAGGUGGGAUUAGCUAAUCCGGAAUAAUUCAUUUGAGGUAGGAUUAACUAACCCAAUCCAUUUUUAGAAGUGUUUAGAAAUAAAAUAGGGGUUAAAGGGUUAUUCCACCCCCUAACCCUGAAUGAUAUUUUAGCCUCCGUUUGGUUCGGGGUUAAGGAAAAAGUAGCUAUUCCAGGGAUAGAGUUAAGUUCAGGGUUAAAGUGGGGUUAAAGUUUUUUUGUGUUUGGUUGGAGGUUGGAGUUAGUCUAGAAUAAUAAAAAAUAGUGUUUGGUUGGAGAAGGUGGGAUAAAAAGAUAAUGAUUGAUAAAGAAGGAUAAUGAUUGGUUGGAGUAUGUGUGAUAAGAAAGAUAGUGAGUUAUUAUGAAUAGAAAAUAGUGUUGGUUGGAGUUUGGUCGGGUUAGGUAAGGUUAGCUAACCCGGGAUAAUUUAUUUGAGGUGGGGUUAGCUAACCCCAUCCAUUUUUUGGGAUGUUUGGGGAUAAAAUGGGGGUUAAGGGGUUAUUCCACCCCUUAACCCCCAACCAAACAAAGGCUUAGAGUUUGAAGGAAGGGUUAAUUGCAAACAGGUCUCACUAAAUAUAGUGAAUUGCAGAUGUAUUUCUGUAAAGUUCAAUUUUUAUAAAUUAUUCCUGUAAAAGUUCUAAUAUUUUAAGAUAGAUCCCUUUGCUUUGUUACCGUUAGAGAAUACUUUAUCCGAAUUAAUUUUUGACAUUUUAAGAAUAUUAAUAUUAUUAUAAUUUUUAGAGGGACAUAUUUGUGAUUGUAAAAUUAAAAAUAUAAAGUUUUCUAAUAAUUCUUUAACGAUAAUAAAUCAAAAAGACAUAUAUGAAAAUAUUAGAUUUUUGCCGGAAUAAUUUAUUAAAAUUAAAUUUUACAAAAAUAUAUCUAUAAUUUACGCGGGAACCUGUAUGUAAUUGACUCUUGAAGGAAUGCAUCUAUAAUAUUUUUAAAUUUUAGAAAACUAUAUCAGAAAUUGUCCCGAGCAUAUAUGGAGUGGUCCCCAUGCUGACAAUGAAGCGGCGUACCGCAUACAUAGUCUACACAAAGCUACUCAUACUUUUUUCUUUUUCUUUUCUUUUUUUAAGAAAAAAAUAGCGUGCUUACUGUUUUAUUUAUUAAAAAGAUUAAUUAGGCUCUCGUACAUUUUAUUACUAGAUGUAAAAUUAAUAUUUAUUAAAUUUUUUUGGCUCAUAUUAAUUUAUUUAUUUUAUUAUUUUUUACUAAAAAUACUUUUAUAAAGAAUGUAUAUACUAUAUAUAUAGUUUUUUUUUAUAGAGUCCUGUUUGGGAGUUCAAAUUUGAACUUCACGCCCUUAAUUUGGGAUCAACAAAAUAAAAAAGAAAAAAAAAGGUUUGCGAUCUGUGACUGUGCAAUUUUUUUUUUUUUUUGAGAGAUAGAUAGCACACUAUCCGUUUCGUUUAUUUCAUUUAAAAAUAAACUUAGCUGAAAAUAUGAAUCAACUAGAAAUCGAACUUUGGUCUCGGGUACCAACCGCCAAACCCUUUACCACUUGCUUUAGGGACGGUCGGUAUGACUGUGCAAUUUUGGCCCUAUCUUUUUAUAUUUUCACACUUUUUUAAGAUGCUAGGAGAUUUUUGUCCGGAAUUGAAACAUUUCUUUUUCUAAAAAAAUAAUUAAAAUAUUAGAUAAAAAAUAACUUAAGGCCCUGCGUAUGGUUGUUUCUCUUUUUCUUUUUCUUAAUAGAAUUUUUAUACAAAAUUAUAUAAGAGAAGAUUAUUUGUAAUUUUUUAUAUUCAAAAUAUUUAUUUAAUAAUAAAAAAUUAAAAAUUGAAAAUAUUUUUAAAUGUAUAAAUUUUUUUAAUAAAUUAUUUUAUUAUUUGAUCGGUAUGCAUAAUAAACUAGCGAAUAACAAUCAUAAAAAAAUAAAUAAAUGUUUUGUAUUAAAAAAUGUCACAACUUUGCCUAAUAACACAAAAGUUUGUGGAUAUUUAUAAGUGAUACGAAUGAAAUGCACGACCUAUAUUUAUAUAUCUCACAUUUCUAACUUGUUGAUCUUGUGGUUCAACUUGCGUACCAAAAUCAUUACUUGGACAUAUACUGGAUUGCUUUUUUUUCUUUUCAAGCAUUAAAAUUCUGCAGUAAAAAUCUAAUUUUACAGCUGAAAUCAAACGUAAGAUUCUUACUAUUUCUAUUUUUGCCGAUUACCAAAAACAAAAAUUCAGGAGAAAGAGAGAGUGAGAGAUAAAUAGAAAGAUCAAGCUAUUUACAACCAUAUAUAUAUAUAUAUAUA